rnacentral:rRNA from 1 species
GUGGCGGACGGGUGAGUAACGCGUAGGUAUCUAUCCAUGGGUGGGGGAUAACUCUGGGAAACUGGGGCUAAUACCGCAUGACACCUGAGGGUCAAAGGCGCGAGUCGCCUGUGGAGGAGCCUGCGUUCGAUUAGCUAGUUGGUGGGGUAAUUGCCUACCAAGGCGAUGAUCGAUAGCUGGUCUGAGAGGAUGAUCAGCCACACUGGGACUGAGACACGGCCCAGACUCCUACGGGAGGCAGCAGUGGGGAAUAUUGGACAAUGGGCGCAAGCCUGAUCCAGCAAUGCCGCGUGUGUGAAGAAGGUCUUCGGAUUGUAAAGCACUUUCGACGGGGACGAUGAUGACGGUACCCGUAGAAGAAGCCCCGGCUAACUUCGUGCCAGCAGCCGCGGUAAUACGAAGGGGGCUAGCGUUGCUCGGAAUGACUGGGCGUAAAGGGCGCGUAGGCGGUUUGGACAGUCAGAUGUGAAAUUCCUGGGCUUAACCUGGGGGCUGCAUUUGAUACGUCAGGACUAGAGUGUGAGAGAGGGUUGUGGAAUUCCCAGUGUAGAGGUGAAAUUCGUAGAUAUUGGGAAGAACAUCGGUGGCGAAGGCGGCAACCUGGCUCAUAACUGACGCUG